rnacentral:rRNA from 1 species
GGAUGCGCAGCUUACCAUGCAGUCGAGCGGUAACAGGGGGUGCUUGCACCCCGCUGACGAGCGGCGGACGGGUGAGUAAUGCAUAGGAAUCUGCCCAGUAGUGGGGGAUAGCCCGGGGAAACCCGGAUUAAUACCGCAUACGCCCUUUGGGGGAAAGCAGGGGAUCUUCGGACCUUGCGCUAUUGGAUGAGCCUAUGUCGGAUUAGCUAGUUGGUGGGGUAAAGGCCUACCAAGGCGACGAUCCGUAGCUGGUCUGAGAGGAUGAUCAGCCACAUCGGGACUGAGACACGGCCCGAACUCCUACGGGAGGCAGCAGUGGGGAAUAUUGGACAAUGGGGGCAACCCUGAUCCAGCCAUGCCGCGUGUGUGAAGAAGGCUUUCGGGUUGUAAAGCACUUUCAGUGAGGAGGAAAACCUUCUGGUUAAUACCCAUGAGGCUUGACGUUACUCACAGAAGAAGCACCGGCUAACUCCGUGCCAGCAGCCGCGGUAAUACGGAGGGUGCAAGCGUUAAUCGGAAUUACUGGGCGUAAAGCGCGCGUAGGUGGUUUGAUAAGCGAGAUGUGAAAGCCCCGGGCUUAACCUGGGAACGGCAUUUCGAACUGUCAGGC